rnacentral:rRNA from 1 species
CAAUAGCGUAUAUUAAAGUUGUUGCAGUUAAAAAGCUCGUAGUUGAACUUCAGACCUGGCCGGGCGGUCCGCCGCAAGGUGUGUACUGUCUGGCUGGGCCUUACCUCUUGGUGAGCCGGCAUGCCCUUUACUGGGUGUGUCGGGGAACCAGGACUUUUACCUUGAGAAAAUUAGAGUGUUCAAAGCAGGCCUAUGCCUGAAUACGUUAGCAUGGAAUAAUAAAAUAGGACGUGCGGUUCUAUUUUGUUGGUUUCUAGAGUCGCCGUAAUGAUUAAUAGGGAUAGUUGGGGGCAUUCGUAUUCCGUUGCUAGAGGUGAAAUUCUUGGAUUUACGGAAGACGAACUUCUGCGAAAGCAUUUGCCAAGGAUGUUUNCAUUAA